GUUAGCCUGUGCGUGGAUGGUGUUCAGCACCAGGGACAGGCGUGUUAACCUGUGUGUGGAUGGUGUUCAGCACCAGGGACAGAUGUGUUUGGCU
rnacentral:pre_miRNA from 1 species